GGAGAUAUAACUCAGUGGUAGAGUGCUUGUCUAGCACGCAUGAGGCCCCAGGUUUGAUCCCUCAUAUUGCAA
rnacentral:tRNA from 1 species